rnacentral:rRNA from 1 species
UGGGGAAUAUUGCGCAAUGGGCGAAAGCCUGACGCAGCAACGCCGCGUGAGUGAUGAAGGCCUUCGGGUCGUAAAGCUCUGUCGGAGGGAACGAAUGCUCUUGAGGUUAACAGCCUCGGGAGGUGACGGUACCCUCAAAGGAAGCACCGGCUAACUCUGUGCCAGCAGCCGCGGUAAUACAGAGGGUGCAAGCGUUGUUCGGAAUCAUUGGGCGUAAAGGGCGUGUAGGCGGUAUGUUAAGUCAUGUGUGAAAUCCCUCGGCUCAACCGGGGAACGACGCAUGAAACUAGCAAGCUAGAGUACCAAAGAGGGUGGUGGAAUUCCCGGUGUAGCGGUGAAGUGCGUAGAUAUCGGGAGGAACACCUGUGGCGAAGGCGGCCACCUGGUCGGAUACUGACGCUGAGACGCGAAAGCGUGGGGAGCAAACAGGAUUAGAUACCCCCGUAGUCCCUGAGCGGGCUGGCAAGGCGCAU